rnacentral:rRNA from 1 species
ACGGGAGGCAGCAGUGAGGAAUAUUGGUCAAUGGGCGGAAGCCUGAACCAGCCAAGUCGCGUGAAGGAUGAAGGUAUUAUGUAUUGUAAACUUCUUUAGACGUAGAGAAAUAAGCCCCUCGUGAGGGGUGAUGCUAGUAUACGUAGAAUAAGGAUCGGCUAACUCCGUGCCAGCAGCCGCGGUAAUACGGAGGAUCCGAGCGUUAUCCGGAUUUAUUGGGUUUAAAGGGUGCGCAGGCGGUCUUUUAAGUCAGUGGUUAAAUCGUGAGGCUCAACCUCAUCACGCCAUUGAUACUGGAGGACUUGAUUGCGGUCGAGGUUGGCGGAAUUCGCCGUGUAGCGGUGAAAUGCAUAGAUAUGGCGAAGAACUCCGAUUGCGUAGGCAGCUGACCAGGCCGUAAAUGACGCUCAUGCACGAAAGUGCGGGGAUCGAACAGGAUUAGAUACCCUGGUA